UACGAAGGGUGCAAACGUUGCUCGGAAUCAUUGGGCGUAAAGCGCACGUAGGCGGCCUUGCAAGUCGGAUGUGAAAUCCCACGGCUCAACCGUGGACGUGCAUCCGAAACUGCUCGGCUCGAGUAUGGAAGAGGGUCGCGGAAUUCCUGGUGUAGCGGCGAAAUGCGCAGAUAUCAGGAGGAACACCGGUGGCGAAGGCGGGACUCUGGGCCGAUACUGACGCUGAGGAGCGAAAGCGUGGGGAGCAAACAGG
rnacentral:rRNA from 1 species